GACGAACGCUGGCGGCGUGCUUAACACAUGCAAGUCGAACGGAAAGGCCCUGCUUUUGUGGGGUGCUCGAGUGGCGAACGGGUGAGUAACACGUGAGUAACCUGCCCUUGACUUUGGGAUAACUUCAGGAAACUGGGGCUAAUACUGGAUAGGAGCUGCGGCUGCAUGGUGGGGGUUGGAAAGUUUGGGCGGUUGGGGAUGGACUCGCGGCUUAUCAGCUUGUUGGUGGGGUAGUGGCUUACCAAGGCUUUGACGGGUAGCCGGCCUGAGAGGGUGACCGGCCACAUUGGGACUGAGAUACGGCCCAGACUCCUACGGGAGGCAGCAGUGGGGAAUAUUGCACAAUGGGCGGAAGCCUGAUGCAGCAACGCCGCGUGCGGGAUGACGGCCUUCGGGUUGUAAACCGCUUUCGCCUGUGACGAAGCGUGAGUGACGGUAAUGGGUAAAGAAGCACCGGCUAACUACGUG
rnacentral:rRNA from 1 species